rnacentral:rRNA from 1 species
UCCGUAGGUGAACCUGCGGAAGGAUCAUUAGUGGUUGCUGAAAAGCUUCCUUCCACCUCUUCUUCUCCUGCGCGGGGGGAGGGGAGGGGGAAGGGCGGGCUUGUGUCCCCUUUAUCUUGUGCAAUGUCGGAGCGAGCUCCAGCGCUCCUUUGGUCGUUCGCAUGAGCCUUCGGCCUGGCUUUGGUCGUUCUUAGCAUAUCAUCAUUAGAAUGGGCAAGGCCGGGCCAAAGGUGUGUGAUGCUGGACGAUCCGGGUGUUUUAUCCACAUAUUUAUUAUUAUUAUUCAACCCAUCGGGAAACGAAGGUGGUGGUUGUUGAUUUUUCUCCCUAUUGAAAAGGGGAAGAAUAAAAACAACUUUCAGCAAUGGAUCUCUUGGUUCUCGCAUCGAUGAAGAGCGUAGCAAAUUGCGAUAAUUAAUGCGAAUUGCAUUUCGUGAGUCAUCGAGUUCUCGAACGCACCUUGCACCUUUGGGUAAUCCGAAGGUACGUCUGUUUCAGAAUCAGACAGAAACCGCACACAACUCAGGGUUGUGGAUUUGGGAGAAAAGUUUGUCUCGGGUCAGCUUGUCUCCUUAAAAAUAGUUACCCAAGGUCGGAGGUGGGGGCUCUGUUCCGGUAGUUCCUAUCUUUUUACUGUGAGUAAGGCUCUUACGCGACCGUGUCAAACCCUGAUCUGAAAUCAGACGAGACUACCCGCUGAACUUAAGCAUAUCAAUAAGCGGAGGA